rnacentral:rRNA from 1 species
UACGUAGGGCGCAAGCGUUGUCCGGAAUUAUUGGGCGUAAAGAGCUCGUAGGCGGCUUGUCACGUCGGAUGUGAAAGCCCGGGGCUUAACCCCGGGUCUGCAUUCGAUACGGGCAGGCUAGAGUGUGGUAGGGGAGAUCGGAAUUCCUGGUGUAGCGGUGAAAUGCGCAGAUAUCAGGAGGAACACCGGUGGCGAAGGCGGAUCUCUGGGCCAUUACUGACGCUGAGGCGCGAAAGCGUGGGGAGCAAACAGG